UUGGUUCGUAAAAACUAAAACUGUAGCUUGUUUCUUUUCCGUCAUUACCAUCCGAACCUGCUGCCGAAGCCCACUUUGAAAUUGUAAGCAUUUGUAACAGACGCGUAUUUGCACCUGGAUUCAAGGUUGCAUCAUCAACAAUUUACGAUGGUCUUUGUCAGAAACCAUCCAAUAUACGAGAAGAAGAGACUCUGUUGUUGUACGCCGGAGGAAGCAUACGUUUCAUGGGAUAGCCGGUGGAGCCUCAGAGCGAUCGGCCAGGAUGGAUGUCGUGCAGCGUCCGUUGAAUCGUCGGUAGCGAUAUUCCUUGACCGUACAUUCGGGACCGAUGAGACAAUGUUUGAUGUGGGUGUGUGUUUCGGUCACUCGUAAUUCGGUAUCGAGCAGCAUUAGAUAGCAGUUGCCUGUGUUAUUUAGAAUCUAAAAUUAAAGAGAUUGUGAAUGUUUCAAACAAGUAUAA